CGUCUAACUCUGGUCCGUGAUCCGGAUCGGGGACAGUGUCUGGUGGGUAGUUUAACUGGGGCGGUUGCCUCCUAAAAGGUAACGGAGGCGCCCAAAGGUUCCCUCAGCCUGGUUGGCAAUCAGGUGUUGAGUGUAAGUGCACAAGGGAGCUUGACUGUGAGACUGACGGGUCGAGCAGGAGCGAAAGCUGGGACUAGUGAUCCGGCAUCGGCAUGUGGAAGCGGUGUCGCUCAACGGCUAAAAGGU
rnacentral:rRNA from 1 species